AUUGAACGCUGGCGGCGUGUCUUAAGCAUGCAAGUUGAGCGGCAAGGAGGAGAGAUCCUCCCUAGAGCGGCGGACUGGUGAGUAACGCGUGGGUAAUCUAUCGUAGGCAUGGGGAUAGUCACUAGAAAUAGUGGGUAAUACCGAAUACGUUCCAUGAGGGGAGUAUUCAUGGAAGAAAGGGUGCUACGGCACUGGCCUUAGGUGAGCUCGCGUCCCAUUAGCUAGUUGGUGAGGUAAAGGCCCACCAAGGCGAUGAUGGGUAGCCGGCCUGAGAGGGUGUACGGCCACACUGGGACUGAGAUACGGCCCAGACUCCUACGGGAGCAGCAGCUAAGAAUAUUCCGCAAUGGACGAAAGUCUGACGGAGCGACGCCGCGUGGAUGAAGAAGGCCGAAAGGUUGUAAAGUUCUUUUGCUAGGGGAGAAUAAGUGAGGGAGGGAAUGCCCUAUGAUGACAAGGACUAGCGAAUAACGCCCCGGCCAACUACG
rnacentral:rRNA from 1 species